rnacentral:rRNA from 1 species
CCUACGGGGGGCUGCAGUGAGGAAUAUUGGUCAAUGGGCGCGAGCCUGAACCAGCCAAGUAGCGUGAAGGAUGACUGCCCUACGGGUUGUAAACUUCUUUUAUAAAGGAACAAAUUGAGGCACUUGUGCCUUUUUGUAUGUACUUUAUGAAUAAGGAUCGGCUAACUCCGUGCCAGCAGCCGCGGUAAUACGGAGGAUCCGAGCGUUAUCCGGAUUUAUUGGGUUUAAAGGGAGCGUAGAUGGGUUGUUAAGUCAGUUGUGAAAGUUUGCGGCUCAACAGUACAAUUGCAAUUGAUACUGGCAGCCUUGAGUACAGUUGAGGUAGGCGGAAUUCGUGGUGUAGCGGUGAAAUGCUUAGAUAUCACGAAGAACUCCGAUUGCGAAGGCAGCCUACUAAACUGUCACUGACAUUGAUGCUCGAAAGUGUGGGUAUCAAACAGGAUUAGAUACCCGAGUAGUC